CAGGGGGAGAGGUGUGUCAAAGGCCUCCAAGUUUCUGAGGGGCACGGCUGGCUGGUGCCUCUCACUGGGCGCUGGCCAGGGCUGCCGCCAGAUGGGACAGGACGCCUCCAGCCCGGGGCGUCCUCACUGCCCGCCCAGCCGCACUGCGCCCCAGGGCCGCCGGGAGCAGCCCCAAGAGCCAUCCUGGCCGGUUCUGGCCUGACAAGAACAACUUCUCUGGGAUGCUGAGGUUAAGGAACACUGGAGUGGCUUCCAGCACUUCUGAGGGCAGUUCCCGAGGACAAUCCCAGGCACCCCAGAGGGCAGUGGUUCUCAGAGCAUGGUCCCUGGCUCCUGAUCCAGGAGUUUCCAGCAUCCCCUGGAAACUGGUUAGAAAUGCAAACUCUCAGGCCCUACCACGGAUCUACUGAAUCCAAACCUCUGGGGGCUGGAUCCAGCAGCCUGUGUUUCACAAGCCGGCCAGAUGAUUCUGAAGCACCACCGCCACAAGGGAUCAAGCCAUCUCUCUCUCCAGUCACUGUCCAUCCACAUACCCAUCAAUCUGGAGUCAUCAUCUACCUGUCAUUUUCUAUCCAAUUUACUCAUCCGGCCAGCUACCUAUCAUCCCUUUUAACAUUCUGUCCAGCCGCCUCUGCCCAUCUGUCUGGUCCAGUCUGACCUGCUGGCUCACUGGCCUAAAUAAAGAUUCCUUUAUUCAUGACAUACGCACCCAGUUAUCAAGUCACUAUUCUCACAGCCCAUUUAUACUAGAAAAGAGCAUUUGCAGCCUAGUACCUCCCCUUGCUGAGGAAAAUGGACACAAACAUUUCUUUCUGCAUAAAUCCUGAGGGUUAUAUCAUAUGUAUUAAGUGAAAUCAGUUCUACUUCCUUAACCCUGAUUAGACCACAGCCUGGUUCUUGGGAUUCCUCAACUAAGGCAACUGUGUUUCUAUGUGCACUAUAUAUAUACAUAUAUUCAUGUUUGUGGGAUAUAUGUGUGUGUGUAUACACACACAAAUACACAACUUGAGUAGCUUGGCAAAAGUCUCUGCCCAAAGAGUUUGUCUGUGUUCGAGGUGACAGACUUAGUCAAUCACAUGGUGCCUUCCCCGGAGAGGGCGAAUGUUAGGUAUUACUGAAAAGUCAGGUCCCUUCAUGCUGCAGACUCCAUCCUGAGCGACAAUAACCUUUUGUUCCAUUAAGUUUCCUGUUAACUGAAGUUUUCCAUCAAGCCUGCUGCUCGCCUCUGCUUUGGAAGAGUGGGACCCAGAGCAACGGUACAGCUCAGGAGCUGCGGGGACCUCGGGCACCCGCCACGUCCCCGUGUCAUUACCCGAGACAAGGGUGGCGGGGGCCACACUGCAGUUCCUCCUCGUCCAGGCUGAUCUGCACGACCACCUCCCCGGAAGCAGAGCCUGCAAACACCAGGCAGGACUGAGAACCAGGAACUGCUGUGUCCACCAAACCUUCACUCCAGCCUCGUCCUUCCUGAGCCAUCAGCAGCUCUAGGUGACGUUCACUCCCUCCAGCUUCAGACGUUUUCUUCGCCCCCUCGUCUGCUGCUCUCCCUCCGGCCCCACUGGACGCUCCAUCCAGGUCUCUGUGGAGCCCAUCCAUCAGCAAAUCCUGGUAACUGUGCCUUCAAAGCACAUCCUGAACUGGACCACCUGUCAGCGCCUUUGUCACUGCCGCCCCGGUCCACCUCCUGGAUUUCUGCAGGAGCCUCCUAACUGCCUCCGUGCCUCCACCUCUAGCCCCUUCAGUCUGUUCUCAACACAGCAGC